rnacentral:rRNA from 1 species
CCUACGGGGGGCAGCAGUGGGGAAUAUUGCACAAUGGGCGCAAGCCUGAUGCAGCCAUGCCGCGUGUGUGAAGAAGGCCUUCGGGUUGUAAAGCACUUUCAGUAAGGAGGAAAGGGAUGUAGUUAAUAACUGCAUUCUGCGACGUUACUUACAGAAGAAGCACCGGCUAACUUCGUGCCAGCAGCCGCGGUAAUACGAGGGGUGCAAGCGUUAAUCGGAAUUACUGGGCGUAAAGCGUUCGUAGGCGGUUGAUUAAGCAAGAUGUGAAAGCCCAGGGCUCAACCUUGGAACUGCAUUUUGAACUGGUCAACUAGAGUACUGUAGAGGGUGGUGGAAUUUCAGGUGUAGCGGUGAAAUGCGUAGAGAUCUGAAGGAAUACCAGUGGCGAAGGCGGCCCCCUGGACAAUGACUGACGCUGAGGUUCGAAAGCGUGGGUAGCGAACAGGAUUAGAUACCCUGGUAGUCCACGCCGCAAACGAUGUCUACUAGCUGUUUGUGUCUUUAAGACGUGAGUGGCGCAGCUAACGCACUAAGUAGACCGCCUGGGGAGUACGGUCGCAAGAUUAAAACUCAAAUGAAUUGACGGGGGCCCGCACAAGCGGUGGAGCAUGUGGUUUAAUUCGACGCAACGUGAUGAACCUUACCAUCCCUUGACAUCCACAGAAGCUGAAAGAGAUUUUAGUGUGCCUUCGGGAACUGUGAGACAGGUGCUGCAUGGCUGUCGUCAGCUCGUGUUGUGAAAUGUUGGGUUAAGUCCCGCAACGAGCGCAACCCCUAUCCUUAGUUGCUAGCAGGUCAUGCUGAGAACUCUAAGGAGACUGCCGGUGACAAACCGGAGGAAGGUGGGGACGACGUCAAGUCAUCAUGGCCCUUACGGGAUGGGCUACACACGUGCUACAAUGGCAAGUACAGAGGGAAGCGAACUGGCAACAGUGAGCGGAUCCCUUAAAGCUUGUCGUAGUCCGGAUUGGGGUCUGCAACUCGACCCCAUGAAGUCGGAAUCGCUAGUAAUCGCAGAUCAGAAUGCUGCGGUGAAUACGUUCCCGGGCCUUGUACACACCGCCCGUC